AAGAAAAAAGCCACCAGGUGGCUUGAGGAGAUGGUAGGGCAUAAAGUGGCAUACAAACCAGAAUUUUUUCUUCUUGGAAUUAUAACAGAAAAAUACAAUAAAGAAGAGAUCUAUUUAAUGAUACAUGUGAUUAUGGCAGCAAGACUAACUUUUGCUCAAACGUGGAAAGACAAAGAAAUUCUCUAGGAAAAUG